UCAUGGCUCAGGACGAACGCUGGCGGCGUGCUUAACACAUGCAAGUCGAACGGGCAUAAUUGAAAGCUUGCUUUGAUUAUGUUAGUGGCGGACGGGUGAGUAACGCGUGAGCAACUUGCCUUGGACAGUGGAAUAACACAGGGAAACUUGUGCUAAUACCGCAUGAAGUGCGGAGAGGGCAUCCUUUCUGUACCAAAGGAAGCAAUUCCGGUCUGAGAUGGGCUCGCGUCCGAUUAGAUAGUUGGUGAGGUAACGGCCCACCAAGUCAACGAUCGGUAGCCGGACUGAGAGGUUGGCCGGCCACAUUGGGACUGAGACACGGCCCAGACUCCUACGGGAGGCAGCAGUGGGGAAUAUUAGGCAAGUGGGGGAACCCUGACCUAGCAACGCCGCGUGAAGGAUGAAGGUUUUCGGAUUGUAAACUUCUUUGGCAGGGGACGAUAAUGACGGUACCCUGAGAACAAGCCACGGCUAACUACGUGCCAGCAGCCGC
rnacentral:rRNA from 1 species